rnacentral:miRNA from 1 species
UCCUCUCGGUCCCAUAUUGAACUCGAGUUGGAAGAGGCGAGUCCGGUCUCAAA